AUGCGCGCACGUCCACUCCGGCUCCGGUGCGCCGUCCAUUCCGCCCGACGACUGCUCGCCAGGGGCGUGUUAACG
rnacentral:sRNA from 1 species